UUAAUUAAAGAGAGAGGGUAAAGAAUCCCUACGUACAGUCGUACGCUUUUAACUUUAGUGACCUCUCUGCCCUAUUCAGAAUCUUGUUCUUCAUCAAUGUUAAUCUUCCUUUUGUGUGACAAUCUCAUUCCUCUUUUAAAGCUCUGGUGUUUCCCACUAUCUUUUUUUCGUGUCGAAUUUUGGAUUGUAGAAGCAAAGAAAGAUGGAUCAAAUUCAUCAUUUUCUCCAUAGGCAUCACUUGAUGCUCACUGGGGAGGAGGAGGUCAAGGAUGGAGUUGUCUGUUCGGGAUGUCACAAAGGUUUACCUGGUCCGAUCUAUGGAUGCAGUGAUUGCAAGUUUUACCUUCAUAAAUCCUGCGCCGAUCUUCCACAAGAGAUCCAAAAUUUCUUUCACCCAUGCCCUCUUUUCCUCACAAUUAGAUCCUAUUCCUAUAAAUGCAAUGCUUGUUUCGAAGACGGCUCUGGUUUCAGCUAUCGAUGUACAAGGUGUGAUUUCGAUAUGCAUGUUAAAUGCGCCCAACGGCCCACCAUAAAAUCGGAAGGGGAAGAGCUUAUUCAUCAUUUCACUCACUGGCAUCCAUUAACACUUGUUGAACAGAAGAAAGAUAUAGAAGUUCUGUGCCGUAUAUGUGAGAAGCUCUGCUCCGGCAGCUCUAAUUAUUCUGCCUAUGGUUGUGAGAAAUGCAACUUUUUCCUCCAUAAUUCAUGCAUGAUCAACAUUCCACGACAGAUCAGUCAUUUCUUCCACCCAUCAUGCCCUCUCAUUCUGCUCACAUAUGGACGUUACAGGUGUAGAGGUUGUGCUGAAGAGAGCUCAGGCUUGGCCUUUAGCUGCGGAAAGUGUGAUUUCCAACUAGAUGUCAAAUGCGCCUUACUUCCCACUGUAGAGUCCAAAGGUGCCAAUAAGAUUCAACAUUUUGCCCACCAGCAUCCACUAGCACUCCGUGAAAACAUGGAAUUUGGCAGUGAAGUUUGGUGCAGAGCAUGUGGAGACAAUUGCUUAGGUCCCUGUUUUGGUUGUGGAAGAUGCUUCUUCUUUUUGCACACAUCAUGUGCUUCUGAGAUUCCACAAGAAAUUCAUUAUCCCUUUCAUCCGCUACACCCUCUCUACCUGUCGCCCCUCCUUCCGGAUCCUGCUCAUCCUACUUUUUGGUGUCCUGCAUGCUGCGGAAGGCAUGACAGGUUUCUGCUGGUCUACCGCUGUGCCAAGUGUGACUUUAACCUUCAUAUCAAUUGUUCUAAGCCUAAGCUCUCACCUUUCUUGUUAAAGUAUGAAGGUCACUCACACUUACUCAAUUUUUUUGACAAAACACGUAACCAUCUCAAUGCCGCAUUUGUUAUCAGAGGGCCCAAAACUGCUACUUUCGAUGUGUGGCGUGUAAAUUCAAUAUGCAUCUCUACUGCCACCCUUCAGCCCCAAAAACAAUAAAACACAAAUGCCAUUUACAUCCAUUAACUCUUACAAGAUCUCCUUUGGAAUUUGAAUUGAAUACACAGAAGAUAAAUAUAACUGGAUGAUGAAUUUUAUUGUGAUGUUUGUGAGGAAAAAAGAUACAAAAUUGAAUCAGUUUAUUAUUGUGAAGAAUGCAAAUUUAUUGUUGAGGUUCGCUGUUGAAUGUCCGAGCUAUUACCACCCUUAACUAUUUCAGAGGUCCAGAGUACCGGCAGAGCCAUUUCCAAGGAUGAGGAGAAUUCUACAAUAGAUGCCACCAUUGCAAGGAUAGAUAAUAAGAUUGCAGGGCUUAUGGCAGAGAAAAGCCUUUGAAAGUAGAAAUUAAGUAUCAUCGAGCAAUGUUACAGCAGCUUGAGGCGAAACUAGAACCAAUAACACGGGAACUAAAACAACUUAAGGUAGAUCGUUUCCUGCGCACUUAUCAGCUACAUCACUACGAGAAAGAGAAUAAGCAUCCAACUGAAGCUUCAACUUCGGAAGGGCUGGCUGCCGGUCUGUCUUGAGUCUGCCGUGACAUAUGUAUCAAGUUUCUGGUAAAGGCUGGCAAGGGUGAUUGAGCAUACCACGAAUAUAUAUAUAUAUAUAUAUAUAUAUAU